CUCUGGCAACCAGCAUUCUACUCUCUACGUCUAUAAAUUUGACUUUUUAAGAUUCUGUAUAUAAGUGAAAUCAUGUGGUAUUUUUUUUUGCCUGGCUAUUUCACGAUUAUUAUUUGUCAAUUAACAAUAACAUUUUAAAUAAAUCUUUUAAAAAACUAAACACUCCUCCCCAAAAAUAGACCAAGACGAUUAUUAAUUCAUAAGUACACACAAAUGACAAUAGAAUAACUGAUGAUGUCAUAAAUAACUGAGACCAGAAGUAACAGAGAAGGGUUCAUAAAGACACAGGUUUGAGUAGGCAUAAAGGAAAACCAUGAGUUUAACAAAUGGGGUAGACUAGAGGAUAUGUGGAACCUGCAGAUGCAGGGGACUGACUUAAGAAACGAGGAUCCACAGACACUGACAUCCAUGGGUCUUAUUAGUGCUUUGUUCCUUCAGGUGUGGUCCUUGGACCAGCAACAUCAGUAUCUAUAUCACCUGAGAGCUUGUUAAACAUUCAGAAAUUGAGAGCCCACGCAACAUCUACAGAAUCAGAAUCUACAUUUCUACAAGAUACUCUGGAAUUCAUACCUAAAUUUUGUGGUUUGAGAAGUCCUGUAGUGCAGGUGAGUAAAUCAUCCAUUCACAAUUUCUUAAAUCUAUCUGAUCAAAUAAACCUCUUCCCCAUGU
rnacentral:lncRNA from 1 species